rnacentral:tRNA from 1 species
GCCGGGGUAGUCCGCCGCGGCGGACACAUGACUGAAAAUCAUGGUGUCGGCAGUUCAAUCCUGCCCCCCGGCACCA